rnacentral:rRNA from 1 species
GGCGGACGGGUGAGUAAUGUAUAGGAACUUGCCUAGUAGUGGGGGGACAACGUGUGGAAACGCACGCUAAUACCGCAUACGCCCUACGGGGGAAAGGAGGGGAUCUCUUCGGAGACCUUUCGCUAUUGGAUGAGCCUGCGUCGGAUUAGCUUGUUGGUAGGGUAACGGCCUACCAAGGCGACGAUCCGUAGCUGGUCUGAGAGGACGAUCAGCCACACUGGGACUGAGACACGGCCCAG